rnacentral:rRNA from 1 species
AACGAACGCUGGCGGCAUGCCUAACACAUGCAAGUCGAACGAGAUCUUCGGGUCUAGUGACGCACGGGUGCGUAACGCGUGGGAAUCUGCCCUUUGGUUCGGAAUAACAGUUGGAAACGACUGCUAAUACCGGAUGAUGACGAAAGUCCAAAGAUUUAUCGCCAGAGGAUGAGCCCGCGUAGGAUUAGCUAGUUGGUUGGGUAAAGGCGCACCAAGGCGACGAUCCUUAGCUGGUCUGAGAGGAUGAUCAGCCACACUGGGGCUGAGACACGGCCCAGACUCCUACGGGAGGCAGCAGUGGGGAAUAUUGGACAAUGGGCGAAAGCCUGAUCCAGCAAUGCCGCGAGAGUGAUGAAGGCCUUAGGGUUGUAAAGCUCUUUUACCCGGGAUGAUAAUGACAGUACCGGGAGAAUAAGCUCCGGCUAACUCCGUGCCAGCAGCCGCAGUAA